rnacentral:rRNA from 1 species
CAGCAGCCGCGGUAAUACGAGGGGGGCAAGCGUUGUUCGGAAUUAUUGGGCGUAAAGGGUGCGUAGGCGGUUUGGCAAGUCUUGUGUGAAAUCUUCGGGCUCAACCCGAAGCCUGCACGAGAAACUGCCGGGCUUGAGUAUUGGAGAGGUGAGUGGAAUUUCCGGUGUAGCGGUGGAAUGCGUAGAUAUCGGAAGGAACACCUGUGGCGAAAGCGGCUCACCGGACAAUAACUGACGCUGAUGCACGAAAGCUAGGGGAGCAAACAGGAUUAGAUACCCGCGUAGUCCCUGUCUCUUAUAA